UCCUACGGGGGGCUGCAGUGGGGAAUAUUGGACAAUGGGCGAAAGCCUGAUCCAGCAAUGCCGCGUGAGUGAUGAAGGCCUUAGGGUUGUAAAGCUCUUUUACCAGGGAUGAUAAUGACAGUACCUGGAGAAUAAGCUCCGGCUAACUCCGUGCCAGCAGCCGCGGUAAUACGGAGGGAGCUAGCGUUGUUCGGAAUUACUGGGCGUAAAGCGCACGUAGGCGGCUCAGCAAGUCAGGGGUGAAAUCCCGGGGCUCAACCCCGGAACUGCACUUGAAACUGCUGCGCUAGAAUCUUGGAGAGGCGAGUGGAAUUCCGAGUGUAGAGGUGAAAUUCGUAGAUAUUCGGAAGAACACCAGUGGCGAAGGCGACUCGCUGGACAAGUAUUGACGCUGAGGUGCGAAAGCGUGGGGAGCAAACAGGAUUAGAUACCCUAGUAGUCUU
rnacentral:rRNA from 1 species